rnacentral:rRNA from 1 species
GAUGAACGCUGGCGGCGUGCCUAAUACAUGCAAGUCGAGCGAACAGAUGAGGAGCUUGCUCCUCUGACGUUAGCGGCGGACGGGUGAGUAACACGUGGAUAACCUACCUAUAAGACUGGGAUAACUUCGGGAAACCGGAGCUAAUACCGGAUAAUAUAUUGAACCGCAUGGUUCAAUAGUGAAAGACGGUUUUGCUGUCACUUAUAGAUGGAUCCGCGCCGCAUUAGCUAGUUGGUAAGGUAACGGCUUACCAAGGCAACGAUGCGUAGCCGACCUGAGAGGGUGAUCGGCCACACUGGAACUGAGACACGGUCCAGACUCCUACGGGAGGCAGCAGUAGGGAAUCUUCCGCAAUGGGCGAAAGCCUGACGGAGCAACGCCGCGUGAGUGAUGAAGGUCUUCGGAUCGUAAAACUCUGUUAUUAGGGAAGAACAAAUGUGUAAGUAACUAUGCACGUCUUGACGGUACCUAAUCAGAAAGCCACGGCUAACUACGU